rnacentral:rRNA from 1 species
UGAGAGCGGCGUACGGGUGCGGAACACGUGUGCAACCUGCCUUUAUCUUGGGGGAUAGCCUUUCGAAAGGAAGAUUAAUACCCCAUAAUAUGUUGAAUGGCAUCAUUCGACAUUGAAAACUCCGGUGGAUAGAGAUGGGCACGCGCAAGAUUAGAUAGUUGGUGAGGUAACGGCUCACCAAGUCUACGAUCUUUAGGGGGGCCUGAGAGGGUGAUCCCCCACACUGGUACUGAGACACGGACCAGACUCCUACGGGAGGCAGCAGUGAGGAAUAUUGGACAAUGGGUGAGAGCCUGAUCCAGCCAUCCCGCGUGAAGGACGACUGCCCUAUGGGUUGUAAACUUCUUUUGUAUAGGGAUAAACCUACCCUCGUGAGGGUAGCUGAAGGUACUAUACGAAUAAGCACCGGCUAACUCCGUGCCAGCAGCCGCGGUAAUACGGAGGGUGCAAGCGUUAUCCGGAUUUAUUGGGUUUAAAGGGUCCGUAGGCGGAUCUGUAAGUCAGUGGUGAAAUCUCACAGCUUAACUGUGAAACUGCCAUUGAUACUGCAGGUCUUGAGUGUUGUUGAAGUAGCUGGAAUAAGUAGUGUAGCGGUGAAAU